rnacentral:rRNA from 1 species
CCCUUAGAUGUCCUGGGCCGCACGCGUGCUACACUGACGCCUACAGUGAGUACUUCCCAGCCCCGAGAGGUGGCUGGUAAUCAGCAAUAGGCGUCGUGAUGGGGAUAGAUCUUUGGAAUUAUGGAUCUUGAACGAGGAAUGCCUAGUAAGCGCAGGUCAUUAGCCUGCGCUGAUUAAGUCCCUGCCCUUUGUACACACCGCCCGUCGCUCCUACCGAUUUCGAGUGGUCCGGUGAAUCUUUCGGACUGCGCGCGGCCUCGUGCCGUGUCGCGGAAAGUCAGGUAAACCUUAUCACUUAGAGGAAGGAGAAGUCGUAACA